rnacentral:piRNA from 1 species
AAGGAAGCCAAAGAAAAGCGCCAGG